rnacentral:rRNA from 1 species
GUGGGGAAUUGUUCGCAAUGGGCGCAAGCCUGACGACGCAACGCCGCGUGGAGGAUGAAGAUUUUCGGAUCGUAAACUCCUGUCGAAUGGGACGAAUAGGUCGCGGGUUAACACCCCGUGAUCCUGACGGUACCGUUAAAGGAAACCCCGGCUAACUCCGUGCCAGCAGCCGCGGUAAUACGGGGGGGGUAAGCGUUGUUCGGAAUUACUGGGCGUAAAGGGCUCGUAGGCGGCCAACUAAGUCAGACGUGAAAUCCCUCAGCUUAACUGGGGAACUGCGUCUGAUACUGGAUGGCUUGGAUUCGGGAGAGGGAUGCGGAAUUCCAGGUGUAGCGGUGAAAUGCGUAGAUAUCUGGAGGAACACCGGUGGCGAAGGCGGCAUCCUGGACCGAUAUUGACGCUGAGGAGCGAAAGCCAGGGGAGCAAACGGGAUUAGAUACCCGAGUAGUCC